rnacentral:rRNA from 1 species
GACGAACGCUGGCGGCGUGCUUAACACAUGCAAGUCGAACGGUGAACCUGGCUUCGGCCCGGGGAUCAGUGGCGAACGGGUGCGUAACACGUGGGCAACCUGCCCCACGACUCUGGGAGUAACUACCGGGAAACCGGGGACGUAAUACCGGACGUACUCCGAUCGGACGACAUCGUCUGACCGGGAAACGGACUCCGACGGUCGUGGG